rnacentral:rRNA from 1 species
CAAUAGCGUAUAUUAAAGUUGUUGCAGUUAAAAAGCUCGUAGUUGGAUUUCUGGUAGGAGUGACCGUUCCGAACUUGAUUGUUCGUGUAUUGUGUUUUCUCCAGCCAUCCUUGUGGAGAGCUUUUCUUGCAUUAAUUUGUAGGGAUUGGGACCCGCAUCGUUUACUGUGAAAAAAUUAGAGUGUUUAAAGCAGGCAAUCGCUUGAAUACAUUAGCAUGGAAUAAUAAGAUAGGACUUUGGUACUAUUUUGUUGGUUUGCAUACCAAAUUAAUGAUCAACAGGAACAGUUUGAGGAUAUUCGUAUGAACAUGUCAGAGGUGAAAUUCUUGGAUUUUGAUCAGACGAACUACUGCGAAAGCAUUUAUCAAGGAUGUUUUCAUUAA